UAAUCAUGCAAGUUGAACGCUUGAUUUUCACCGAAGCUUGCUUCACCGAAAAUCAAGAGUAGCGAACGGGUGAGUAACGCGUGGGUAACCUACCUUUCAGCGGGGGAUAACUAUUGGAAACGAUAGCUAAUACCGCAUAACAAUGUUGGAUGCAUAUUCGACAUUUGAAAGUACCAACUGGUACACUGAGAGAUGGACCCGCGUUGUAUUAGCUAGUUGGUAGUGUAAUGGACUACCAAGGCGAUGAUACAUAGCCGACCUGAGAGGGUGAUCGGCCACAUUGGGACUGAGACACGGCCCAAACUCCUACGGGAGGCAGCAGUAGGGAAUCUUCGGCAAUGGACGAAAGUCUGACCGAGCAACGCCGCGUGAAGUGAAGAAGGUUUUCGGAUCGUAAAACCUCUGUUGUUAGAGAAGAACGUUGCAUAGAGUGGAAAAUUAUGCAAGUGACGGUAUCUAACCAGAAAGGGACGGCUAAACUACGUGCCAGCAGCCGCGGUAAUACGUAGGUCCCGAGCGUUGUCCGGAUUUAUUGGGCGUAAAGCGAGCGCAGGUGGUUUAAUAAGUCUGAUGUAAAAGGCAGUGGCUCAACCAUUGUGUGCAUUGGAAACUGUUAGACUUGAGUGCAGUAGAGGAGAGUGGAAUUCCAUGUGUAGCGGU
rnacentral:rRNA from 1 species